rnacentral:tRNA from 1 species
GGGGGUUUAGCUCAGUGGUAGAGCGCUUGCCUAGCAAGCACAAGGCCCUGGGUUCAGUCCCCAGCUCUG